AUUUUUGUGUAGUGUGUCUUGAAUGACUGAGAGUUCAGCGCAUCAGCUUAAAAAAGUAAAACUAAUAAUUCCGCAAAACUCCGUGAAUUUGGCCGGAAAAACCUUAACAGCAGUGAAAGAUUUUCACACCGAGGCCGUCAACGAAGAGAGUGAUAAAGUUCGACAGAUUCCACCAUCCGACCGGACAAAAACCGGAGCAGUUCUAGCGGAAACAAGCUGAACACUCCGCUGGAACAACCAGCACCACAUCAUCAAGAGUCGCAGUCGCAGCAGUAAACUUGGCUGAAGAAAAACAUUUGUGUUUUGGUUUUGUUCAAGUGAACAGAACACGACUUCCUGGAUCGCACCAAAAGUAAUCUACGAUGGCUCCUAAAUAUUCUUCCGAGGAGCACCACAGACGACGAAAUCAGGGAAUCUGACAGAAGAAAAAGCUAUUCCUCUUCGGAAGACCCGAACGUUAAGAAUUGCGGGAAAAGGUGCGGAUGCAAUAGGAUUGUUCAUUCACCCGAAGUUAACAUUUGUUGGCGAUUGCACUUCGCUGUAUCAGCAGAAUAAUAUCAUUCAAGAGUCCCCAGAAUAGGCUCCAUAGGUUACGAAGACUACCGCGUAGUCCACCUUCUGGUACUAAAUUUGUAAAUUUUAUAAACUUUUAAGCUAUUAAUCCCAAGUAACAAUUUUAGUUUUAUACUAAUCUGCAAGCUCGCUAUGAAACUUCGUUAUAAAAUUACAUUAAGUUAUAUAAACCGCAAUAAAACAUCUAUAAAGCCCUUAUCAGUGUAAAAAGGCCCACCUACAGGAGGUUCUGAAGAACGCAUUACAAGUAUCUUAUACAACCUUUGGAGGGUUUCGUUAUGAGCUGUCAAAUUUUAGUUUGAGGGAAUAGUUUUUGGCGUGAAUGUUUAUUUUCCGAACAGGUUUUAAAAUGGAAUUGAUUUAGAAUAAAUAUUCUGACAUAAUGACAAACAAAAUAACAUCGUUAUUUGUGGUCGAAAAUCAAGAAACAUAUAUGAUCGAUCGGUUUAUUUGGCAACAUAAAGUUAUUAUUUAUUAUUUCUUACUGGAAAAAAUAUUGCGCUGCAAAAUUAAUCGAUUGAUUUUUCGAAAAACAGUCAAAAACAGCGCGCCCCUUUAUGAUAUUGCGAAAUAAAAGAGCCGAAAAUAUUUCUUUACUUUUUGAUCAAUACGUUUGUACAAAUGUUCUUCCAAUGUUCCAUAGGAAAAUGGCGAUUUAUCCUAAAGCCAGUUCGUCUCAAAGAAACCAUUUACAAAUCCAGUUAAUCUUGAAUGACGUCACGUUAGGAUUAAUUUGCCUUGAUUUUAUUCCAUCACGAACCAAUUGAUAUUUUAACAUAAAUUGUUUUCGAAAUUUUCAGCUAGCAGAAUGUAA